UACGUAGGGGGCAAGCGUUGUCCGGAAUCAUUGGGCGUAAAGAGCGUGUAGGCGGCUUGGCAAGUCCGCUGUGAAAACUCGAGGCUCAACCUCGAGAUGUCGGUGGAAACUGCCUGGCUAGAGUCCGGAAGAGGAGUGUGGAAUUCCUGGUGUAGCGGUGAAAUGCGCAGAUAUCAGGAAGAACACCUAUGGCGAAGGCAGCACUCUGGGACGGUACUGACGCUGAGACGCGAAAGCGUGGGGAGCGAACAGG
rnacentral:rRNA from 1 species